AAUAUUUUGUAUUCGUUAAUCGUUAGAUUAGACCUAAUAACUAAGAAUCAAUAUAUUUUAUAAUAAUUUUAAAAAAUAUUUAAUAUUUUAAAUAUUAGUAGGUAAAUUUGAGAUAACUUUUAUAUAUUCACCUUUAAAAAAAUAUGAUUAAAUAUUAUAUAUGUUAAUAUUUUUUAUAAUAAUUUAAAUAAAAUAUUCAAAAUUUUAAAUAUUAGUAGGUAAAUUUGAGAUAACUUUUAUAUAUUUUGCUUUAAAAAUAUAUGAUUUAAUAUUAUAUAUGCGGAAGGUAUUAUGUGAUUGGAUAUUAUAUAGGUGGUGGAUAUUAUGUGUGAGAAAAAAAAUUAAGAUAUGCGAAUAUUAUUUGUGAUAAAAUAUGAUAUUAUGUGGGCGACGGUUAUUAGAAGAUAUGACAUGCAUAUAAAAAGUGAAAUUUGAUACGUACUAUUUGAAAGCAAUUUAGAUAAAAAAAGUGACAAAUAUUUUGUAUUCGUCAGUCAAUUAGAUUUAUUGACUAAGAAUUAAUAUAUUUUAUAAUAAUUUAAAUAAAAUAUCUAAUAUUUUAAAUUUGAGAUAACUUUUAUAUAUUCUGCUUUUAAAAAAUAUGAUUAAAUAUUAUAUAUGUUAAUAUAUUUUAUAAUGUUUUAAAUAAAAUAUCCAAUAUUUUAAAUAUUAGUAGGUAAAUUUGAGAUAACUUUUAUAUAUUUUGUUUUAAAAAAAUAUGAUUAAAUAUUAUAUAUGCGGAAGAUAUUAUAUUAAUAGGGACCGGUAUUUUGGGAAAGAGGAAAAAAUUCAAAACUAUCAUUUUUAUAAAUAGUAUAGAUCAGCAGUUAACUGAAAAUAAUGUAUAAACAUUCAAAAGAUAUAUCUAUAAUUAUAAACACAUACUUGUUAUCCUCAAGUAGUAUCGUAAUCUUUUUUAUUUCUUUACCGUCCUUCCAGUUUUCUUCCAUUCUACUAAUUCCAGUAAGCUUCCCGAUGACAUCUGAGAUAAUAUAAUAAUAAAAUGUAAGAAUCAAUAUAAUAGAUAGACAUAUUAAAAAUUAAAUUUUAAAAAUUAAAUAUUUAAUGCAUAUACUAACUCUUACCUACUAAAUAUUUGUUAUCAGCGACAUUACCAAGUAUUUCAUCAAAAGGGGUAAAUAUAAAUCCAUACUUUGAUAUGGUCAAAACAUUUUCUAUCACACGUACAACCGUAGAAUAUUGAAAAUUGAUUUUGUAAGGAUGAUUAGUGGUCCUGUAGGAGCCGCUGCUCUGCCCCACUCCAAACUGGUUGAUCACAUAAACUUUUCCUUCCGUAAAAAGGCCUUUAAAUUUAUUCAGAAAAGCUUUUCUUAUCGUUGCAUGUGUUCUAUCUCCCUAAAAUAGAAAAUAAACAAAUUAUAUAGUAUAUUUUAGAAAAAAAAUAAAGCAAAUGUAUGUUAAAUUUGAAAAUAAAAUCGUAUCUUACAUUUUGAGUUUGACUGUUAAUUAUCUGCCAAUACAAAAUUUGAGUUUGACUGUUAGAUUAUUGAUUUCGGAACCAAUAAUUUUAAAUAAUUAAUUAUCUGCCAAUACGAAAUUUGAGUUUGACCCUUUUUUUCGCAACUAACCAUUUCAAAUAAUUCGCAACAGAUUAUUGCUUAUUUCGCAACCAAUAAUUUUAAAUAAUUAAUUAUCUGCCAAUACGAAAUUUGAGUUUGACCCUUUUUUUCGCAACUAACCAUUUCAAAUAAUUCGCAACACUUUGAUACGGUCAAAACAUUUUCUAUCUCACGUACAACCGUAGAAUAUUGAAAAUUGAUUUUGUAAGGAUGAUUAGUGGUCCUGUAGGAGCCGCUGCUCUGCCCCACUCCAAACUGGUUGAUCACAUAAACUUUUCCUUCCGUAAAAAGGCCUUUAAAUUUAUUUAGAAAAGCUUUUCUUAUCGUUGCAUGUGUUCU
rnacentral:lncRNA from 1 species